GACGAACGCUGGCGGCGUGCCUAAUACAUGCAAGUAGAACGCUGAAGGAGGAGCUUGCUUCUCUGGAUGAGUUGCGAACGGGUGAGUAACGCGUGGGUAACCUGCCUGGUAGCGGGGGAUAACUAGUGGAAACGAUAGCUAAUACCGCAUAAUAGCAGUUGUUGCAUGACAACUGUUUGAAAGCUGCACUUGCACCACUACUAGAUGGACCUGCGUUGUAUUAGCUAGUUGGUGGGGUAACGGCUCACCAAGGCGACGAUACAUAGCCGACCUGGGAGGGUGAUCGGCCACACUGGGACUGAGACACGGCCCAGACUCCUACGGGAGGGAGCAGUAGGGGAACUUCGGCAAUGGGCGGAAGUCUGAACGAGCAACGCCGCGUGAGUGAAGGAGGUUUUCGGGUCGUAAAGCUCUGUUGUAAGAGAAGAACGAGUAUGAGAGUGGAAAGUUCACACUGUGACGGUAUCUUACGAGAAAGCGACGGCUAACUACGUG
rnacentral:rRNA from 1 species